UACGUAGGGUGCAAGCGUUGUCCGGAAUUAUUGGGCGUAAAGAGCUCGUAGGCGGUCUGUCGCGUCUGCUGUGAAAAUCCAGGGCUCAACCCUGGACCUGCAGUGGGUACGGGCAGACUAGAGUGCGGUAGGGGAGAUCGGAAUUCCUGGUGUAGCGGUGAAAUGCGCAGAUAUCAGGAGGAACACCGGUGGCGAGGGCGGGUCUCUGGGCCGAUACUGACGCUGAGGAGCGAAAGCGUGGGGAGCGAACAGG
rnacentral:rRNA from 1 species